rnacentral:lncRNA from 1 species
GUUAUGACAGACUUCACGGGUUGGACUUCUGUCCAAGUUUGCCAGUGGUUGAAAGAUAUUGACUUGGGGGAAUUCUGUGAAAGGAUGGCGAUGAUAAAAAUCUACCAGAGAAAUUUUGUGUCUAACCACAGCACGGAGGAGAUUAUCUCUGAGUUUCCAUGUUUCAGACUGGCCAAAAUGCUCCUUUGGGAUCUGAGAGACCGUACCAACGUUGAUGUGGACCAACAGAUUCUCUCUCAGCUCUCGGUAAUGGCAUCUAAAGUCCUUCAAGUUUCACAGAGUCCCCUGAUGGAGAAGUUCAGUCGUGUGGUUGAUGACUGUGAAGAUGGCAGACUGAAAAAAGGACUACAGUUGGAAGCAGCUAUUCUGCUCUUGCCUGCACUGUUUAAGGAGGACCCGGGGUUGCUGUUUGAAGUUGAGGUUCAUUACUGAGGAGAGUGAGGACAUCUCAAUGGCACUGGGCCUCAUCCUUUGUAUAUAUUUUCUGUUUGGGAUCCAAUAUCCUAAAGGACUGAAAAAGACACUGACCUUCCUGGAGUGCGUUGUCUUAAAAAUGAAGGAUGCAGCCGGACUUCCUGUCACAAUUAAAAGAGUGUACAACUCAAUCUGUGCAUAGAGUCUCUCUCUCUCUCUCUCUCUCUUCUCUUUCUGGGGCCUAUUCCAAUUUCUAUUUUUUUUCCUUCUAUUUUUUUCUAACUCCUUUAGCCAGUGUUGUUAAUGUUAAAAAGCACGGAUUAUAUUUGCAACUAAAAGAAAUGAAUUAAACUAUUUUAAAAGUGUAAUGUAUUUUGUUUAUCAGUAAGCUUUUAGUACAGGAUUUUGAAUCUUUCAAUCCACGAUUUGGUAUAAAAGCGUCAUUUAGAAGCAUAUUGACUCAAACAUUGUAGUAUAUAGCAUGAUAAUGGCCUACUACCUAAAAAAAAGGUUCUAUAAAGCACCAUUUGACAAAUGUGCUAUAAAGCUUAAGUCCCAUUAAUGGCAAAAGAGGUUCCCCUAUAACGAGCCAAAGAAUCACUGUUGAGCACCAUUUUUGUUGAAGAAAUUGUAAACAAUCAAGGUGCUUUAUGGCACCUCUUAUGGUUCUACAUAGCACCAUUUGACAAAGGUGCUGUACAGCCCCUCUUCACAGACACCUCAUCCAAAAAAAAAUGUGUUUUGGUAGAAAAUAGCAUUCCAGUGUGUAUUUACUUCUGAAGUAUUUUUAAAAAUAUUUUACUCUGAGGGAUAGAUGUGAGUACAUAUUUAAAAAAAAAGUGACAGGACCUUAUAAGUAUGGUUCACCUUAAAUUCUUUUUUUUUAUUUUAAAUGUGAACUCACACUCCUGUUGUUCAAAGCCUGACUUUCGUUCUUCUGUGGAACAAAAAAAAGAAUGAAUGUCUCAGUGUUUUUUUGUUUCGUAAUAUCAUCUU